rnacentral:rRNA from 1 species
UACGUAGGGGGCUAGCGUUGUCCGGAAUCAUUGGGCGUAAAGCGCGUGUAGGCGGUCCGGUAAGUCCGCUGUGAAAGUCGGGGGCUCAACCCUCGAAUGCCGGUGGAUACUGUCGGGCUAGAGUGCGGAAGAGGCGAGUGGAAUUCCUGGUGUAGCGGUGAAAUGCGCGGAUAUCAGGAGGAACACCAAUUGCGAAGGCAGCUCGCUGGGACGUUACUGACGCUGAGACGCGAAAGCGUGGGGAGCAAACAGG